GCACCUAUAGCUCAGUGGUAGAGCGUUUGCUUUGAACAGAGAAGGUCCCAGUUUCAAUCCCUGGUAUCUCCA